GCUCUGCUGCCAGCGUCCUCCAAGGCUGUUGUUUGCCGGCAUCCUCCUCAGAUUCUUUUGGUGUUCCUUAGUUGUUUCCAUUUAAUUCUGCCUUGUUUUCCACAUCUGUUCUUCAUUGGUGAUUCUAAUUAUGUUUAUUUCUUGUUUCUAGUUAUUUUCCUUUGUUCUAGUUUAAUUAGGUUCCUUUAGUCUCCUUACUCCUUUGUGUUUGUAUUUUGGUUGUUUCCCCUUGUGUAAUCUUCCCCCCUUUCCUUUGCCACUUUCUCGAUCCCUUCACAGUCUGCUUCCACUCCCUCCACUCACACCUGCUCAUCAGCCCAGGUCCUGCACAGUGGUGCACUUGAUAGCACUGUUGCCUUGCAGCAAGAAGGYCYUGGCUUCARUUCCCAGCAUGGAGUUCACAUGUUCUCCCARUGCAUGCRUAGGUUYUCYCCGGGUACUCCGGCUUCCUCCCAAAGUCCAAAAGCAUGACUGUUGGGUUAAUUGAUUUCUGUACCCAUCCUUAGGUAUGGAUGUGUGCGUGCAUGGUUGUUUUGUCCUGCCUCUGUGUUGCUGGCGACCUGUCCAGGGUGUACCCUGCCUUCUGCUUGAGAUAGGCACCAGCACCUCUCCUGACCCCACUGGGACAAUGGUGUAAGAAAAUGGAUCAAUGGAUCAUCCAUCCCAGAUGGCUGGCUGCUGGGGCUGACAGGGCCAAGUCCUUGAGGAGAUCAUGUGUCUGUGGAAAGUACAGGACAAGAAAGCGUUAUCACGUUGUGGACGAACCCCUGAUGAAUCACACUAACGACCCAGGGCCCGCGCUGCAGCUCUGCUAUGAAAUUAAUAUCUAAGACUCAUUUAUGUCCGUGCUAAACGAGCUAACAGAUGCCAAGUGUGUCAGUGGCUGUAUCCUCUCUAGCGGUGCCAGAACAUUUAGCCAUUAGUCUGCUAAUAGCAUCAGGAUCUCUCUCUCACGGCGGCGAGGUGAUGAUGAAAUAUUAGCUUAGCUCGAGUCGUUAAUAGUUAGCUGGGGCUUGCCUUGGAGAUCGAGUUCGUUUUAUUUCUCAUGAAGAGAUCAGAAACAAUAGCUGUAUAUUCAGAUUCAUAUUUUUGUCUGUGCGUUAAUGACAACUAAAGGCAAUUGAUAUUUUUUCUGUUUUAUGCACUGUAAAAUUCAUUGUAUUUUCUGAUGGGGUUAUAUCUGUUUUUUCAUUGUGUAAAAUAUUAAUGAUGCACAGCUAAAGUUUUCUGCAGAAACUUAUUAAAGAGCGAUAGGCACUUGUAUAAAGUUUACCUUUAAUUUUACUCCAAUCAAAUCCUUUUUUGAAAGAUAUAAUCAGAAAUUGAAUUUUGAUGCUUUUCCACACCA